UGCAAGUCGAGCGAACGGACGAGAAGCUUGCUUCUCUGAUGUUAGCGGCGGACGGGUGAGUAACACGUGGAUAACCUACCUAUAAGACUGGGAUAACUUCGGGAAACCGGAGCUAAUACCGGAUAAUAUUUUGAACCGCAUGGUUCAAAAGUGAAAGACGGUCUUGCUGUCACUUAUAGAUGGAUCCGCGCUGCAUUAGCUAGUUGGUAAGGUAACGGCUUACCAAGGCAACGAUGCAUAGCCGACCUGAGAGGGUGAUCGGCCACACUGGAACUGAGACACGGUCCAGACUCCUACGGGAGGCAGCAGUAGGGAAUCUUCCGCAAUGGGCGAAAGCCUGACGGAGCAACGCCGCGUGAGUGAUGAAGGUCUUCGGAUCGUAAAACUCUGUUAUUAGGGAAGAACAUAUGUGUAAGUAACUGUGCACAUCUUGACGGUACCUAAUCAGAAAGCCACGGCUAACUACGUGCCAGCAGCCGCGGUAAUACGUAGGUGGCAAGCGUUAUCCGGAAUUAUUGGGCGUAAAGCGCGCGUAGGCGGUUUUUUAAGUCUGAUGUGAAAGCCCACGGCUCAACCGUGGAGGGUCAUUGGAAACUGGAAAACUUGAGUGCAGAAGAGGAAAGUGGAAUUCCAUGUGUAGCGGUGAAAUGCGCAGAGAUAUGGAGGAACACCAGUGGCGAAGGCGACUUUCUGGUCUGUAACUGACGCUGAUGUGCGAAAGCGUG
rnacentral:rRNA from 1 species